UUCACUGAUAUGCUAGGUUUCCUCUUUCCCGUGGUUUUCUUCUCACAAACGGCGUUGUACAACUUUCAAUCAAGAAAGGGUUAUUAGGUAAGGAUGCAGAAGGAUAAGCGAAAAUCGUGGAAGGAGAAGGAGGAAGCGUGCUCUGUGCGGUUGAGUAUGAGAAGGAGAAGCGAAGAUCGUGGAACAACAGGGUACUCUUGCAUAUGAGGCAGAAAUUGGUUUUGAAAGGCUUGCAGAAACGUCUGGUCAUGUGUGUGGCAAACCUGAAACAAGAACUGAAGAUGCCAAGGUUGCUAACACAGCAAACCUGCUGCUGCUGCUGGAAAAGAGGGAAAAGCUUUGAGCUUUUCUAGGUUGGAUGUGUUUGCUGCUGAACCAUUUGAGAACUUACCACUCCCCUUGCUGCAGAGAGAACAAGAAGGAAAGACCCUCUAAACAGCUUCAAUAAGUAGUUAAGUGGAUGGAAUAUCAAUGACCAC